UGCUCAGCUCAGGUUUUGUUUAGAUCCUAC
rnacentral:piRNA from 1 species